AAUUAUUUAAGUAUGUUUCUAAUUUCCCCGACUUCAUCCCCCAAUCUCCGUCUAUCUCAGCAAUCCCUAAUUCCCAACUCAUCCCCUAAAUCGCCGGCCGUCAGUGCGCCCAUCUUUCUGCCGUCGGUGCGCCGUCUGUCUCCAGCUCCAGCGAAAUUGCUUCCAGCCACCCAGCUCCGACGCGGCGACGAUACCCUCCCGCCGGUGCUCAAUUCGCUCGCUGACGUCCACGCCAUCACCUCUUGUUGCAAUUUAAGUUUCCUGGUUUAAGAUCAGUUUUGGUAACACUCCAAAGACCCCUCAAGCUGAGGAGUUCUCGUCUGAGUCCAGUUUGCAGGAAAUUGAUGAAGUGAGGAUAGAGUGGACAAUAUUUGUAUUGUAUGUGAUUUUACAUAUUGAUGAUGAUGGAUGAGACAUACACGACGACAUCCUCUGAGUCGAGCAUAAUAACGAGGUUCCAAGGCCAAAAAUCGACAAAACGAGACAAAGGGAAGAGCAAGAAGGGGGAGUCCUCGACGAGCAGGGACAAGGUGAAAUAUUACGACACAAUGGAUCGCAUCGCAAAAGGAAUCGAACUCUUCAACACCACUCAACGAGAAGCUCUCGAUUUGAAACGGAAAGCUCUCGAUUUGAAACGGGAAGCUCUCGAUCAUAAAAUUCUCACUGCGGACAUCUCAAAGAUGGAUCAUCGACAAUUGGCACUGCACAAUUCAAUGCUCGAAGAAGUUGUGAAGCGUCGAGAAUUGAUGUAGAUUUUUAAUUAUUGUAAAGUUUUCUAAUUAUUGCAAUUUCAUUUCAAUUAUUGUAUUUUAUUUUAAUUAAUGUAAUGUGGUGAUUUUAAUUUUAACAAAA